CUGAGAUCAGGUGCUGUGGAGACCCCAAGUGAGAUCUGUGCCCCUGUUGUGCUGGGCACUGUAGAGACCCCACAGACAUCAGGCCUCCCAUUGUGCCAGAAAAAUGUCCACCUUUU